UACAUGGGGUGCAAACGUUGCUCGGAAUUAUUGGGCGUAAAGCGCACGUAGGCGGUUCGUUAAGUCGGAUGUGAAAGCCCUCGGCUCAACUGAGGAAGUGCACCCGAAACUGGCGAGCUUGAGUACGAAAGAGGAUCGCGGAAUUCCCGGUGUAGAGGUGAAAUUCGUAGAUAUCGGGAGGAACACCGGGUGGCGAAAGCGGCGAUCUGGGUCGAUACUGACGCGUGAGGUGCGAAAGCGUGGGGAGCAAACAGG
rnacentral:rRNA from 1 species